rnacentral:rRNA from 1 species
ACGAACGCUGGCGGCGUGCUUAACCCAUGCACGCCGAACGGUGAAGCGCCUUCCUUUUUGGUGGGUGUGGAUGAGUGGCGAACGGGUGAGUAACACGUGAGUAACCUGCCCCCUUCUUCUGGAUAACCGCAUGAAAGUGUGGCUAAUACGGGAUAUUCUGGGUCUGUCGCAUGAUGGGUCUGGGUUAGAUAUUGUUUCGGUGGGGGAUGGGCUCGCGGCCUAUCAGGUUGUUGGUGGGGUGAUGGCCUAGCAAGGCGGUGACGGGUAGCCGGCCUGAGAGGGUGGACGGAAAGAGAGGGACAGAGGCAAGGACGAGAAUGAUAAGGGAGGCAGAAGGGGGGAAUAGUGAACAGUGGGGGAAAGACUGAUGCAGCGACGCGGCGUGAGGGAUGGAGGCCUUCGGGUUGUGAACCUCUUUCGCGAGUGAAGCAGGCCUGCCUCGUUUGUGGGUGGGUUGACGGUAGCUGGAUAAGAAGCGCCGGCUAACUACGUG